UACGUAGGGUGCGAGCGUUAAUCGGAAUUACUGGGCGUAAAGCGUGCGCAGGCGGUUCGUUGUGUCGGCGGUGAAAGCCCCGGGCUCAACCUGGGAAUGGCCGUUGAAACUGGCGAACUGGAGUGUGGCAGAGGGGGGUGGAAUUCCGCGUGUAGCAGUGAAAUGCGUAGAUAUCGGAAGGAACACCAGUGGCGAAAGCGGCUUCCUGGUCCAGCACCGACGUUCAGGCACGAAAGCGUGGGGAGCAAACAGG
rnacentral:rRNA from 1 species